CCUUGACUCCGGGAAGAGAACAUUCAGGGGGAACAUAAAACUGCUGAGAUAUUUGCAGGGCUACCAUGUGGAGGAGCAAUGGAUAUGGUGCACCAGAGAGGAAGGGAGCCGCCACCUUGUGGAGAACAGCAAGCUCCCGCCCACAGAGGUUUCCAGGAAGGGGCUCACUGAGCCCGUGGAAGAAGAGAGUCAACCCCCAAGAGGAAGGUAGGAUUAUCUGAUUUAAAAA